UACAGAGGGUGCGAGCGUUAAUCGGAAUUACUGGGCGUAAAGCGCGCGUAGGCGGCUUUGCAAGUCGGGUGUGAAAUCCCCAGGCUUAACCUGGGAACUGCAUUCGAGACUGCAUUGCUAGAGUAUGGGAGAGGGAAGUGGAAUUUCCGGUGUAGCGGUGAAAUGCGUAGAUAUCGGAAGGAACAUCAGUGGCGAAAGCGCUCUACUGGACCGCAACUGACACUCAGGGACGAAAGCUAGGGGAGCGAAUGGG
rnacentral:rRNA from 1 species